AAUUGGAGUGAUGAAACUUUCACCUUAGGCAGAUGCAUCAGACCGUUCUGGUUGUUUUCUGUGUCUGCCGGUGCUGGGGCUUGUCAUAGUUACACUGACCACAU
rnacentral:snoRNA from 1 species